rnacentral:rRNA from 1 species
UACGUAGGGGGCAAGCGUUGUCCGGAAUCAUUGGGCGGAAAGAGCGUGUAGGCGGCUCGAUAAGUCUGCUGUGAAAGUCCAGGGCUCAACCCUGGAAGGCCGGUGGAAACUGUCGGGCUAGAGUCCGGAAGAGGCGAGUGGAAUUCCCGGUGUAGCGGUGAAAUGCGCAGAUAUCGGGAGGAACACCAAUGGCGAAGGCAGCUCGCUGGGACGGUACUGACGCUGAGACGCGAAAGCGUGGGGAGCAAACAGG